rnacentral:rRNA from 1 species
AGAAGGGUGGGUGAGGAGUGGAAAGCUCAUCUAAGUGGACGGUAACUACCCAGAAAAGGGACGGCUAACUACGUGCCAGCCAGCCGCGGUAAUACGUAGGUCCCGAGCGUUGUCCGGAUUUAUUGGGCGUAAAGCGAGCGCAGGUGGUUUAUUAAGUCUGGUGUAAAAAGGCAGUGGCUCAACCAUUGUAUGCAUUGGAAACUGGUAGACUUGAGUGCAGGAGAGGAGAGUGGAAUUCCAUGUGUAGCGGUGAAAUGCGUAGAUAUAUGGAGGAACACCGGUGGCGAAAGCGGCUCUCUGGCCUGUAACUGACNCUGAGGCUCGAAAGCGUGGGGAGCAAACAGGAUUAGAUACCCUGGUAGUCCACGCCGUAAACGAUGAGUGCUAGAUGUAGGGAAGCUAUAAGUUCUCUGUAUCGCAGCUAACGCAAUAAACCACUCCGCCUGGGAGAAUACGAGCCGCAAAGGUUGAAAAUCAAGGGAUUUGACGGGGGCCCGCAUCAACCGGGGGAGCAAUGUGGUUUAAAUCCAAACAAACCCA